CUGUGAAAAAAUUACUGAGACACUAAGAUGCUGUGAAUUGGGAAAGUUUGGAAACCUCAAGAUUAGAGCUAUACACACUGUCUCAAAGGGCAAAGGUGGAUUUUAAUGGCUUAAGCUCAAUGGAAUUAUCCUAUGUGAAUAUGGAAGCUGAAAGGUCCCAAGAUCUGCAGUCGGCAAGCUGGAGACCCAGGAGAGUCAAUGAUAGAGUUCCAGUCUGAGUCUGAAGGCUAAAGACCAAUGUCCCAGCUCAAACACCAUUAGGCAGAGGUCUUAGAUUGGAGGAGCCAAUGAGAAGAAAUUGCACAAGGGAACUUUCUUCAAACCUUCAGUUUAUGAAUAAUGCAUAACUCGCCGUGACUCAUCAAAAGCAAUGAAAUAUCCAUCUGCUCAUUGGAUUCACCCCCAGGCUGGUUUCUACAUAGGCAGGAUUUGUAAACAAAGUGGAAU